CAAAAACUUAAAACUUCCAGGAAGAUGGGGGGAGGGGAACCCUCCUAGAGAGAUUUUUAAAGUGAGGUUUUUUUAGGUUAAUGCCAUUUUCUUCCUGUCUUACUCGCUUAUGACAACCCCAAUGAAGUUUUAAGCUGGACUCUGGCAGUAAUGUUAAGUAGAGAUUUUCUCGGCCAACUUCAUAUUAUUUAGGGUUCUAUUCUUCCUUCACCUUGAACACAGAUGUGCCAUUCUCUGCUUGGAUGCACACAGAAUAUUCUUGCUCACAGAAUAACUCAGUUGAAGCCCUGAGCAUGUAAAAGGAGGCCUCUCUUAGCAGCUGGGAAGAGAGAGUGGAGAGAAAGAGGGAUCAGGACAGAUGUGGACACGGCAGAAGAAGAGGAGCCUGCUGUGACGGACUUCCUUGAAAUGACAAACAAGUAAAUAUUUAAGGGAAUAAGUAAAACCAAAAGAAGGACUCAUGGGUUGGAAGAAUGGAAGGAGAAGGAAAAGGCAGAUGGGAUAGGGAUAGACAUUGAAGAUUGCAAACAGGCUAGUAGCAAAGAAAGCAAAAACAAACAGGGUUUUUAGAAGCCAGAUAAACCUUGGAUUCCUGGUGUUGUCACUUCUGAGCUAUCUCUGUUACCUUAGAUGAGACAAAAAGGCCUGGGUGACAGCAUAUCUGUUUACAACAUGAUUUUCUGAAAAUUUUAAGCCUACUGUUGAGAACUACUACUCACAAAAAAAGAUUCCUUUCAAAAUAUUAGUGCUCAUUGACAAUACACCUGUUCAGCCAAGAACUCUGAUGGAGAUGUACAAGAAGAUGAAUGUUGUUUUCAUGCCAGCUAGUAAAACAUCCAUUCUGUAGCCCAUGGAUCAAGCAGCAAAUCUGACUCUCAAUUCUUAUUAUUUAAGAAAUCCUUUUUAUAAGUCUAUAGCAUCCAUAGAUAAUGAUUCCUCUGAUGGAGCUGGGCAUCAUAAUUGAAAGCCUUCUGGAAAGGAUUCAUCAUCUUAUAUGCCAUUAAGAACGUUCAUAAUUCAUGAGAGGAGGUCAAAAUAUAACAUUAACAUGAGUUUGGAAGAAGCUGAUUCCAAGCCUCAUGGAUAACUUUGAGGGGUUCAAGACUUCAGUGGAUGAAGUCCCUGCAGAUGUGAUAGAAAUAGCAAGAGAAAUAGAAUUGGAAGUGGUGCAUGAAGAUAUGACUGAAUUGCUGCAAUCUCAUGAUCAAACUUGAAUGGAUGAGGAGGUGCUUCUUAUGAUUGAGCAAAUAAAGUGGUUUCUUGAGAUGGAAACUAUUCCUGGUGAAUAUGCUAUGAACAUUGUUCAAGUGACAACAGAGAAUUUAGAAUAUUUCAUAAACAUAGCUGAUAAAGCAGCAUCAGGGUUUUAGAGGAUUGACUGCAAUUCUGAAAGAAGUUUUACUGUGGUUAAAAUGCUGUUCAGUAGCAUCACAUGCUACAGGGAAAUCUUUCAUUAAGGGAAGAGUCAAUUGAUGUGGCAAACUUUACUGUUAUCUUAAGAAAUUGCCACAGCCACGCCAACCAUCAGCAACCGACUACCCUAAUGAGUUACCAGCCAUCAACAUUGAAGCAAGACCCUCCACCAGCAAACAGAUUACAACUUGCUAAAGGCUUUAAGAUCGUUAGCAUUUUUUAAGCAAUAAAGUAUUUUUAAAUUAAGAUAUGCACUUUUUAAAAGAUAUAAUGCCAUUGCAUACUGAAUAUACUACAAUAUAGUGUAAACAUUUAUAUGCACUGGGAAACAAAAAAAUGUGUGUGACUUGCUUUAUUGCAGUGGUCUAGAACUGAGCCCACAAUGUUCCCGAGGGGCCUGCAGUUUGAUUUUGGACAUGCAUAACUUAAGGGUUUAUCUGUGUGAAUGACCAAGUGGAAGUUGGAAAUGUGGAUUUGGAUUUUUCAUGUAGAAAUGGGACUUUGAGAGUCAAUUACUUAGGAGAGGAAGUUGAAGAGCAUGUGAAGAGGAAAAAGGGAGGACAGCAGGCAUGGGCAUGGGGAGGUGGGAAGUCAGAUAAUAAUACCAGGCAGGAAUUGGUUAAGGAGGAAAGGAAAGCUGCAGGGGUGUAGUAACAUGGGGUGCAAGGGAGGAUGGAGAGAUGAGGAGCAGCUUCUUAACAGGUCAUAUGCUCUAGAGAGGUAGCCAAUGACAACAGAAAAGAGGCCUCUGGAUUUAUAGAUCAAGAAACUAUUGGGAUUGAACUGCUUCCAGGGUUUUUUUUUUGAAAUUUACCAGAGUGAUUUUGCUUGUCCCAGUGAUUGGGGAGUGUAUUAGUGCGUUUUCACACUGCUAUAAAGAAAUACCCAAGACUGAGUAAUUUAUAAAAAGGUUUAAUCGACUCACAGUUCCACAUGGCUGGGGAGGCCUCAGGAAACUUACAAUCAUGGAGGUAGGGGAAGCAGGCACUCUCUUCACAACAUGGCAGGAAAGAGAGAAGUGCUGUGAAGGAGGAACUUCCAAAGUUAUAAAACCAUAAGAUCUCAUGAGAACUCACUCACUAUCAUGAGAAGAGCCUGGGGGAAACUGCCUGCAUGAUCCAAUCACCUGCCUCCCUUGACACAUGGAGAUUACAAUUUGAGAUGAGAUUUGGUUGGAGACACAGAGCCAAACCAUAUGAGGGAGUGGGGCACUACUGGAAUAUAGUUGGUGGGGUCAAAGAUUCUAGACAUCUUCCAUUGACCAGGACAGUCGCGCAGAGCGAAGAAUUGUCCUGCAUCCUGUGUGACUUAGUUGUCCCACUGCUCAGCUCAUUUAUGUAGGUGAAAAAUCUGUUUAUAAUUAUCUGAGCCUAGAAUCUAUUUUAUAUAUAAACAUAAAUUGUUUUCCACACAGUUUUAAGUUAUAUCAAAUUUUCCUGGAAUGUUGUAAAUUGGAUGGCAAUAUCAUUUAUGGAAUUUGAAUCACCAAUACAGUUCAUUUUGUGGCUGUCUCUUUCAUGGUGAUUCUGCAUAUGGAACAAGUAUCUGACUACUUUAUUGUGUCUUUUAGCUUAGGGAUGCUUGAGCAGUUGCAUGUUGGAUCAUGCAGUUUUAUUAUUAUUAUUAUUAUUUUUUUUUUUUUUGAGACGAAGUCUCACUCUUGUCAUCCAGGCUGGAGUGCAAUAACGCUAUCUCAGCUCACUGCAACCUCUGCCUCCUGAGUUCAGCAGUUCUCCUGCCUCAGCCUCCCGAGUAGCUGGGAUUAUGGGUGCCUGCCACCACGCCCACCUAAUUUUUGUAUUUUGAGUAGAGACGGGGUUUCACCAUGUUGGCCAGGCUGGUCUUGAACUCCUGACCUCAGGCAAAUCACCUGCCUUGGCCUCCCAAAGUGCUGGGAUUACAGGUGUGAGCCACCGCGCCUGGUGGAUCAUGCAAUAUUUUAUGGUAAAUUACUUUAUUUUGUACUUUAUAUUAUAGUUAAGGUAUUGCUUUAAUUUUAGAAAAUUACAUAGGUAGGUAGCUUAUGGCUUCUACUUCACAAUGGUAAAAAGCAUAUUGUUUCAUAUUUGUUAUGAAAAGGGAUCAUUAAGAUUGACAAGAUGGAGAGCUAUUUAUUCCUUCAGUCAAUAAACAUCUCUGGAGUCCCUACUCAUUCUGGGUACUUGAGAUACAUCAAUAUAUGAAACAGAAAAAGUUUAUUGCCCUUUUGGAGUUAAUAUUGUAAUGUGGGAGAGGCAGAUGAUAAAUAAUAAACAUAAACAAAAUAAGUAAAUUCUCUAUUAGAAAGUUAUAAAUGCUGUGAAAAAUAAAAGGAGGAUAAAGGCAGUUGGGAGUGCAGGAGAGGGUGUGGGUUGAAAUGUUAAAUAUAAUGAUCAGGGUAAACUUCAUUGAGAAGGUGAUAAUCAAGGAAAGAUCUGGAGUUGGUAAGAGAAUGGCCUUGUGGAUUUCUGAGAAAAGAAAUAGCAAGGAUGCCAGUGUGGUUGGAUAUGGGCAGGGGUCAAGUAGAAGGAGGACAGGAAAACCCCGGGGCUGGAAACAAAUAAUGUAGGGCUUGUGGGCAUUGCAAGAAAUUUCAGCUUUCACUCUGAAUGAAAUGGGCAGCUGUUGGAGAGUUCAGAGCGGAAGAGUGACAUGGUCAGGCAUAGGUUUAAAGGAUUAUUCUGGCUGCUCUAUCAAGGAUAAAUCUUAACAGGCAAUGGUGGAAGCAGACUAGGCAAGAUGCUAUUGUAGUAAUCCAGGCAAGAAAUAUUAGUGGCUUGAACUAGAGUGGUAGCAACGAAAAGUGAUGGUGUGGAUGUGGAAAAGAAAUCAAGAAUUCUAUAGGGCAUAUUGGAAGAGUUUCAGGGGUUUGGGAGGGACGGAAGAUGGAGAUACAUUAAAGUAUGUUCAGGGCCUUAUAGGAAUGGGACUUGGGGGAUGACCUAGUAGUCUAGGACUUCUUGUGGUGACUCACAUAAACAGGGAUAAAGGGUAUAAUGAAAUCAGUCCCAGAGAAGGCAAGAAAUAAAAUGGUGAAGAGGUUGUGAGUGUGGGGGGUAUUGAUGAAUGUUUGAGUUCCCUGACUCUGGAUGGAGCUGAGAAUCAGGUGGACUCUUGAUCCACGUUGAUGGAAUGUUGAAGGCCUGGGGAGAGGAGGACUCAGUUCCUAGGCCAACGCUUAUUCAUCACUCCUGUCAGGAGCAGGCUGACUUGUUCAGAGUGAGUAGUCCUCUCUACCUCUGCUCUUGACCUUUUUGAUGGACUUAGCCCUUUUGAUGCAGUUGAGGAUUGGGGCAAGCUGGUAAUUACUCUAAGCACAAAGGCCCAGAAACAAUGAUGAUUCAAUAAAGUAUAUUCUAGAACACAGACUGAGGUAGACUUAAAAUUCUGGAAAUGGAGAAAUUUUGAGAAAUUUGGCAAAUGGGGAAUUUUGGCAAAGAAGGGCAGGAGAAGGUUUGGUCCUUAAUGUGGAAGGAUGCUCUAAGAUUGGGGAUAGCAGACAACUGUGUUUGUACAGUGAAGUGAAGAAGCCACUAGAUGCAGAAAUGUGAAAAUUCAGAACAGAGGGUGUAACUGAUGUAAUAUUUUCCUAGAGAAGAAGGAACUAUUGAUUGUUGAUCUUUGGAAGAAAAGUGGCAUAGUUUCUUCCUAUAAGAAAAGAAAGAGGCCAGGCGCAGUGGCUCAUGCCUGUAAUCCCAGCACUUUAGGAGACUGAGGCAGGCAGAUCACUUGAGGCCAGGAGUUCGAGAACAGCCUGGCCAAUGUGGUGAAACCCUGUCUCUACUAAAAUACAAAAAUUAGCCGGGCGUGGUGGCAGGCACCUGUAAUCCCAGCUACUCAGGAGGCUGAGGCAGGAGAAUUACUUGAACCCAGGAGGUAGAGGUUACAGUGAGCUGGGAUCAUGCCAUUGCACUCCAGCCUGGGCGACAGAGCGAGACUCCAACUCAAAAAAAUAAAAAAAGAAAAGAAAGAAAGCAAAUGGAAUGAUUUAGUAAUAUUGAGGGAAAUUCUAAAGAGAAAAGGGGGUAUAACAUUAUUUAAAGAUUAUUUUUAUUUAUUGUGAAAAUACACUGUAUGAUAAAAAAAAUUAAAGCAAUCAGAAACUUAAAAUAGAAAGUGAAAAUUCCCAAUAAACCCAUUCCUAAAAUAAUCCCUGUUAAAUGAUAUAUAUUGUCUAAAUUUUUAUCCUGUGCUUGUGACUUCUUUUUGUAAAUGUUACAUGAGGUAUUAAUCCAUUCUUUCAUUGCUGUAAAGAAAUACCUGAGACUGAGUAAUUUAUAAAGGAAAGAGGUUUAAUUGGCCCAUGGUUCUGCAGGCUUUUUGGAAGCAAAGCAUGAUGCUGGCAUCUGCUUGGCUUCUGGGGAUGCCUCUGGAAGUAAAAUCACAGCAGAAGGCGAAGGAGCAGCAGGCACCUCACAUCGCCAGAGCAGAAGCAAGAGAGAGUGGGUGCCACACUUUUAAACAGCUAGAUCUCACCAGGACUCAUUCACUAUUGUGAGGACAGUACCAAGGGGAUGAUGUAAAACUAUUAAAGAGAAAUCCACUCCCAUGAUUCAAUCACCUAUCACCAGGCCCCACUUCCAACAUUGAGGAUUAUAAUUCAACAUGAGAUUUGGGCAGGGAAACACAUCCAAACCAUAUCGUGUGAGUACCUAAAAUAUGAGUAUUUUUUCUUUGCAGGCUCUCAGGUUAAAUAAUAAAUAAAAAUUUGUUGAGCUUCUAUUACAUAACAGAUAUUAUUGCAUCAAUCUUUUCGAUAAUUGUUAUUCACAUCUUCCAUAUAAUAUCUAAUUUUUCUUGAUUAUUCAAGAAUAAAAAGAAAUUUGUUAAAGCCUCCUAACAUUUAUCUUGUUGUUUUCUUAUUUCUUGAAGUUUUGCUUUAUGUAUUUUAAUGCUGUUAUUUGAUACAUAAGCAUUUAUACUAAUAAUUUAUUUAUUGUGAGCUGUGUCAUUUGCCAUUACAAAGUGACUUUCUUUGUUCCAUGUAUUAAAAAGCUUUGUUCCAAGCUUUUUAAUAGCUUAUUCUAUCCCACUUGAAAUUAUUUGAAUUAGAUAUGUUUAACCUUAUCUCGAUCAUGUGUUUAUUUUUUGAAUUCACAUUGUUCUUUUUUUCUCUUUGGCUUUACAAUCUGUACUUUCUUUGCUUUUGUUUUGUCUUGGUUUUAUUUUUAUCUUCCUCUAUAUUUUAGUAUCAAAGAUUAACAAAGCUGGACUCUAAAGUGGCAAGGACAGACUUUAAUCAGUAAGUAAUAGAGACAAUCUACAAUAGAGUAAUCAGAGAAUAGAGAUAAGCAUCCAGCAUGAACUGAACUCUGAUUUGUAUAGAGAUGACCAACUAAAAUAGGAGUAGGACGGGGGUGAAUGAGGGCUCAGGAGAGUCAGAGAAGUGAAACAUAACAAAGGGUUCACAUCACAAAGUGGUAACGCCAGCUGUUUCUGGUAGGUGAUAGUUACAAACACUAGGAUUCUAUCUUCCUACAGACUGGGAGACAGGGGCCCUAUUCUUCUUGAUUGUAUUUCAAAUAAAUGGCUUUUGGGUCCUUGAGAAAGACACCCCUGAGUUGUAGGAGAUACAUGUACAUCUCAAAGAGACAGAGGAAGGAGUCACAGUUGCAAGCCCUUUUUAGUAAAUGUUCUAAGAAAGGGUGGUCAGGGCAUACUGCCAGGUGUUGGCUCAAACAAAUAGUAAGUUAUUUGGCAUUCUUGAGCUUUCUUAGUGAGGCACUUUAAAAGGAGCUAAUGUCAACCUAGUGAUGUGGCCUUGAAAUGGUGGAGGAGAGAAAGUUCUUAAAAAAAAAAAAAAAAGAAAGUAUGUUAGUUUUUGUACAAGUCUUUAUAGGCCAAGACUGAUACCUUACCAAGAAGAGGGCUUAGAGGAGAAGAGCUAGUCUGGUCAAGGAAAAUAUUUGUCAUUAGUUAUUUAUUGCUGUGUAACAAACUACCCCAAAACUUAGCAGCUUCUAACAACACACACUUAUUAUCUCACACUUUCUGUGGGUCAGGAGUCCUGGUGUGGCUUAGUUGAAUCCUCUGCUUCAGGGUCUCUCACACGGCUGCAAUCAAGGUAAUGGACAGGGCUCUUCUCUCCUGAAGGCUAGAUUUGGGGAGGAUCUGCUUUCUUACCUAUAUGGUUGGAGGCAGGAUUUGGUUCCUUAUGGGCUGCUCAACUGAAGUCCUCAGUUUUUGUCACAUGGGCUUCUCCAUAGGGUAGCUCACAACAUGGCAGCUGGCUUUAUCAAAACAAGUGAUAUGUGGGGAAAAGUCAGAGUAAGAGUGUAAGCAAGACAGAAGUCCUAGCCUUCUAUAGCCCAACUUCAGAAGGGAAAUCCUAUCACUUUUGCCACAUUCUUUUUGGUAAGGGCAAGUCAUUAGGUCUAGACUAACACAAAGGCAUGAAUGCCAGGAAGUGGGGACAAUUGGGAGCUGUUUAAGAAGGCUACCUGCCACACUCUAGCAAUUGGGGAGUUGUAAAGUCUGUUUUAAAUAAUAUGCUUACAUUUUUAUUUUUCAAUUAACUUUAGAAAUGCAAUGAUGAUGAAAUGAUGAAAUCAGUCUACUUAACUUCUCUCUUUUCUCUUCCCACCUCUUAGUUUGGAAAGCAAAUAUGAUUCUUGUUCCAGUCUAUUGUCAUCAAAAUAUUAUGAUUUAUAUUAUGUAUUUUUUUAGUAUUAAAACAACUAUAUUUAAUUUUAUGACUUAAAAUGCCAAUUACUUAAAUAUGUGUAGUAGACUUAAAGCUCACGGCUUAACCUUUUGUACAUCAUGACUUUCUCAUUCAUGAAUUUUAUUUUAUGGUUACUUAUCUGUUUAUUGUCUUAAUUUUUUUUCCUGACAGAUUUUUCAGAGGUGCAUAAAUGCUAUUUUUCUUGAAUUCUUGCAUAUUUGAGAAUUUAUUUCUGUCAUGAUUACACAUGAAGGUGGUUAGACCAGAUAAGUAUCGGGGGAACCAGCCCCCAAUAUUUCAAUGUAGGUUCUUUUCUAUUUUCCCUAAGUGUCGGCCGGUCUAAGAAAUAAAGGGAAAGAGCACAAAAGAGAGAAAUUUUAAAGCUGGGUGUCCGGGGGUUACAUCACAGGUCAUCAGGUUCCGUGAUGCCCCCAAGCCAAAAAACCAGCAAGUUUUUAUUAUGGAUUUCAAAAGGGGAGCGGGGUACAAAUAGAGUAUGGGUCACAGAGAUCACAUGCUUCAAGGGCAAUAAAAUAUCACAAGGCAAAUGGGGGCAGAGUGAGAUCACAGGACCAGGGAGAAAUUAGAAUUGCUGAUGAAGUUUCAUGUCCCACUGGGCACGCAUUGUCAUUGAUAACAUCUUAUCAGGAGACAAGUUUUGAGAGCAGACAACUGGUCUGACUAAAAUUUACUAGGCAGGAAUUUCCUAAUCCUAAUAAGCCUGAGGGCACUGCAGGAGACCGGGGCUUAUUUCAUCCCUUAUCUACAACUGUAUAAGACAGACACUCCCAGAGUGGCCAUUUUAGAGACCUCCCCCUAGGAAUGCAUUCUCUUUCUCAGAGCUGUUCCUUGCUGAGAGAAAGAAUUCAGACAUAUUUCUCCUAUUCACUUUUGUAAGAAGAGAAAUAUGACUCUGUUCUGUCUGGCCCAGCAGGCAGUCAGGCCCAGUGGUUAUCUCCCUUGUUCCCUGAAAAUCGCAGCCAUGCUGGUCCUUUUGGAUGCCCAGAUUUCAUAUUGUUCAAACACACAUGCUCUACAAACAAUUUGUGCAGAUAACGCAAUCAUCACAGGAUCCUGAGGCGACAUACAUCCUCAGUUUACGAAGAUGACAGCAUUAAGAGAUUAAAAUAAAGACAGGCCUAGGAAAUUAUAAGAGUAUUGACUGGGGAAGUGAUAAAUGUCCAAGAAAUCUUCACAAUUUAUGUUCAGCGAUUGCAGUAAAGACAGGCAUAAGAAAUUAUAAAAGUAUUAAUUUGGAGAAUGAAUAAAUGUCCAUGAAAUCUUCACAGUUUAUGUUCUUCUGCCAUGGCUUCAGCUGGUCCCUUCAUUCAGGGUCCCUGACUUCCUGCAACAGAUAUGGAAUGUUUUUUCUUCCUAUGUUUGUUAGCCAUUGCUCCAUUUUCUUCUAACAUUUAACAUUGCUUAGAAUAUGCCUGAUUCCUUUGUUUAUGAAGAUGACCUUUUUCCUUCUGCCUAGAUGACUAUAGGAUUCUAUUUCUUUUAGUCCUUAAAGUUCUAGAAAGAAAGCUUUUAUUAAAUUUGAUUGGAAUAUGGUGAGCCUUUUCAAAAUUCAAUUUGAAAACUUACUUUAGUUCAUAACAUUCUUCUAUUGUGUAAUUUUUCAUUUCCAUUUGCUCAUUCACAUCUUCAAAGAUAAAAGUCACUCAUGUUUUAGUUCUCCAUUGUCCAUGGUCUACAACUUUCAUCUUCUUUCUGAUCACCUUCAUUCCAUGUCAUUUUCCACCAAAUUCCAUGUGAUUAUUUUCUUCAAUAGCUUCCUCUUCAUGUCCAAUUUUCUGCCGUUUAAAUUCUCUUCCUUGGUACUUUUAAUGUGAUUUUCAGUUAUUUAAUUUCUUCUCAUUUGAUUCCUCUGCUUUUCUAGAUUUCUCUUAUUUUUACUGUUGCAUGGGUUCUGUGAUUUUUUUUUUCUAGAUUAAAAAAAAAAACUACCUAAACUCUUUGAAGGAAGUCGAUGAGAUCUAGUUGAUUUGCUUAAGAAUAAAGGGAGUGAUUUUCCUGCUUUUCCCUCUGUUUACCUGAGUAGUGUUUGAAUCAUCCACUUAUA
rnacentral:lncRNA from 10 species